rnacentral:rRNA from 1 species
CCUACGGGAGGCUGCAGUGAGGAAUAUUGGUCAAUGGACGAGAGUCUGAACCAGCCAAGUAGCGUGAAGGAUGACUGCCCUAUGGAUUGUAAACUUCUUUUAUAUGGGAAUAAAAUGUUCCACGUGUGGGAUUUUGUAUGUACCAUAAGAAAAAGGAUCGGCUAACUCCGUGCCAGCAGCCGCGGUAAUACGGAGGAUCCGAGCGUUAUCCGGAUUUAUUGGGUUUAAAGGGAGCGUAGGCGGAAUGUUAAGUCAGUUGGGAAAGUUUGGGGCUCAACCGUAAAAUGGCCGUUGAAACUGGUAUUCUUGAGUACAGUAGAGGUGUGCGGAAUGCGUGGUGUAGCGGUGAAAUGCUUAGAUAUCACGAAGAACUCCGAUUGCGAAGGCAGCUCACUGGACUUCAACUGACACUGAGGCUCGAAAGUGUGGGUAUCAAACAGGAUUAGAUACCCGAGUAGUC